UACAGAGGUGGCAAGCGUUGUUCGGAAUUACUGGGCGUAAAGCGCACGUAGGCGGCUUGGCAAGUCGGAUGUGAAAUCCCUCGGCUCAACCAAGGAAGUGCAUCCGAAACUGCUGAGCUUGAGUACUUAAGAGGAUCGCGGAAUUCCCGGUGUAGAGGUGAAAUUCGUAGAUAUCGGGAGGAACACCAGUGGCGAAGGCGGCGAUCUGGGAAGAUACUGACGCUGAGGUGCGAAAGCGUGGGGAGCAAACAGG
rnacentral:rRNA from 1 species